GCCGGGGAACAGGUGAAGAUUGCUAUGUCCUUCCACACUUCGAGGUCCACAUCAGUUCGAGAGGCACAGCAACCAUCAUUGAAUGGACCUCCAAUACAAGAUUUUGAGGAAGCGGUUGGAAUCUGGUGGCGGGAUGCCAAGGAGAAGAACCCUAAGGCCCGAAGACCCUAGAAGACUUGGACUCCUACCCCCUAUUCCUCCACCAACAACUGAGGAACUUGUGCAAUCACAAGUGAGAAGAGGCCGAGCGUUAGGUGAACCUCGAGACCAUGCAGGAUCUCCAGAAACCUCCUCCAGCUCAGCAACCCUGUGAGAAACCCAGGUAAUGACCCACAUACAUACAAAUGACAUAAUUUGAAGUAGUAACAAUAAUAUUUUUUUCUGACUUAUCUGUUGGAAUACAUCUCUAGAUUAACAGUAAAGUCCCUGAUGGACCAAGACCCCUCUGAAGCCUCCACUAUCAAGCAACUAGGGGGAGACCUCCCUGCCUGCUUCCCAGUCCUAACCACAAAACUGAUGCAGCACUUUCUCCAUGUACCAGGCCACACACACAAACUGAUGACAGGAACAUACACAUGGACAGCUUAAGCUCUGUGGCUGGCUGGUAUAAUGAAGGAAUGGGAUGAAAUGAGCAUUGAUCUAAUGGUGUGAAGAGGCCCUACAGUGCCAGACCAUUUUCAUAGGUUUACUUUACUCUGUAAACAUGGCCUUAAUUUUGAGAAUACAUUACUUAAUUAAAGGCCCACCGUCAUCACAUGAUCACCCCAUUCAAUUUGCCAAACAGCUCCUAAAAGGCUUUUCACAAAAAGUGACAUCACACAUCCCAACUUGCAAACUAAUCAUUGGUUUAGAAGACAAAACAAGAGUGACAACUUGAUUCUAGCCUAUUGAAACAACACAGAGUAGACCAUCCCCUCCCCAAACCACUUGCUGCACACCUGAACCUUAUUUUGAUUUAGAUUGUGGUCGGUGGUGUACAUGAGGUGAUUUGAAUGGGGUGAUCAUGUGAUGACAGUGGGCCUUUAAACAGUUAUUUCAGAUUAAAUCACAGCUAGAUCCAUUGAUCCACCUGCUACGUCAUACACCUGUCAGCCAUAGCUCUAUUAAAAUAUAUUGUUUGCCUCUUUACCCUCCUCUAAUCCUCCCAUCCUUGUGUCAUGGGGCUCUACCUGCCUCUACGGGUGUAUAUUAUGUCUGGGCUGACACACAUCUUUUAUUUCUUAUUAGGUGACAAGUGACACAAGGUUCUGGAUCAUAGGUGUUUUUGAUCUGGUUAUAUUCUGAGUUUCUGUUUUAGCCAUUUAUCAGUUGACCAUGUUUCUUGGUAGCUAAGGGUUAACUUGAGUUUGAUCAUGUUCACAUUGCAUCUUAACUCCUUAAAGCUGGAAUUUGCGAGUCGUCUGUGACCCCCAGGACACACCUCUUUUAUUAUUUCAUUUGUAACAAAACCCAACACUUACCUCUUUUUCUCACUUCUCUUUUGGGGUGGAGUUGAUCCAAAUCCAAUACUAAUGAUGAUGAUGCUUGUUCAGUAGAACAUUUCUAAAAAAAAAACGUUGUCCCUGCUGACUACUCUGCUGUUUACAUUCUAGCUCUCCCAUGCACGCUCAUGCGGGCUCCCUCAUGCCCAAGCGCUCUCUCUCGCAUCUAUGCGCUCUCCCACUGUCUCACAACCAUAGAUUGUGUAUAUAUAAACAACACAAGAAGCGGGGGUAAGCCUUGGGUCAUGGACGACUCGCUGAUUACCACUUUAAAUAUGUCAUUGAUAUAAUUUGUCCAGGGGUAGUUAUGUGUUUUAUAUCCCAGUUGAAAACUCCUCUGGAAUAUUGGUACCAUAACCGAAUCAUUUCACACCUUUGUCUUAUUUCACAUUUCACUGGACAUCCCAUGCUCCUUGAAUAGCAAGGCUUGGAGUAAGUUCUCAUUUACCUGCAUAGACCUUUGCACAAGUCAUUGGUGUUAACUGUUGUUUUGAGGGUGACAUUUCAACCGUAGAAUUAUGUCAAUGGUAACCAAUUUUCAGUACAGACAAACGUUGUCUAAAAUGUGUAAAAUUGUGCCUUUUUAAAUUUUAUAUCCAGAAAAAAACGAAUAUGCAAACAAACUAAUGUAAAAUUAUUAUUUAUUCAAGCACACAUUCAGAUGUAUAAAUACAAUUUUAACUUUGUUGUGCCGGGAGAAAGUGCAGUGAUGACACUUUUGAGUGAGAAAUAAACUAACAACCUUUAGAAUC